rnacentral:rRNA from 1 species
UACAGAGGUCCCAAGCGUUGUUCGGAUUCACUGGGCGUAAAGGGUGCGUAGGUGGCGAGGUAAGUUUGAUGUGAAAUCUCCGGGCUUAACCCGGAAAUGGCAUUGAAUACUAUCUUGCUUGAGGGUUGGAGGGGGGACUGGAAUUCGUCGGUGUAGCAGUGAAAUGCGUAGAUAUCAGGAGGAACACCUAUUGCGAAGGCAGCUCGCUGGGACGUAACUGACGCUGAGACGCGAAAGCGUGGGGAGCAAACAGG